GCUUCCCGCUGACGAGCGGCGGACGGGUGAGUAAUGCUUAGGAAUCUGCCCAGUAGUGGGGGAUAGCCCGGGGAAACCCGGAUUAAUACCGCAUACGUCCUACGGGAGAAAGCAGGGGAUCUUCGGACCUUGCGCUAUUGGAUGAGCCUAAGUCGGAUUAGCUAGUUGGUGGGGUAAAGGCCUACCAAGGCGACGAUCCGUAGCUGGUCUGAGAGGAUGAUCAGCCACAUCGGGACUGAGACACGGCCCGAACUCCUACGGGAGGCAGCAGUGGGGAAUAUUGGACAAUGGGGGCAACCCUGAUCCAGCCAUGCCGCGUGUGUGAAGAAGGCUUUCGGGUUGUAAAGCACUUUCAGUAGGGAGGAAAACCUUAUGGUUAAUACCCAUGAGGCUUGACGUUACCUACAGAAGAAGCACCGGCUAACUCCGUGCCAGCAGCCGCGGUAAUACGGAGGGUGCAAGCGUUAAUCGGAAUUACUGGGCGUAAAGCGCGCGUAGGUGGUUUGGUAAGCGAGAUGUGAAAGCCCCGGGCUUAACCUGGGAACGGCAUUUCGAACUGUCAGACUAGAGUGUGGUAGAGGGUAGUGGAAUUUCCUGUG
rnacentral:rRNA from 1 species